rnacentral:rRNA from 1 species
GACGAACGCUGGCGGCGUGCCUAAUACAUGCAAGUCGAACGCUUCUUUCCUCCCGAGUGCUUGCACUCAAUUGGAAAGAGGAGUGGCGGACGGGUGAGUAACACGUGGGUAACCUACCCAUCAGAGGGGGAUAACACUUGGAAACAGGUGCUAAUACCGCAUAACAGUUUAUGCCGCAUGGCAUAAGAGUGCAAGGCGCUUUCGGGUGUCGCUGAUGGAUGGACCCGCGGUGCAUUAGCUAGUUGGUGAGGUAACGGCUCACCAAGGCAACGAUGCAUAGCCGACCUGAGAGGGUGAUCGGCCACACUGGGACUGAGACACGGCCCAGACUCCUACGGGAGGCAGCAGUAGGGAAUCUUCGGCAAUGGACGAAAGUCUGACCGAGCAACGCCGCGUGAGUGAAGAAGGUUUUCGGAUCGUAAAACUCUGUUGUUAGAGAAGAACAAGGACGUUAGUAACUGAACGUCCCCUGACGGUAUCUAAACAGAAAGCCACGGCUAACUACGUG